rnacentral:rRNA from 1 species
GAUGAACGCUGGCGGCGUGCUUAACACAUGCAAGUCGAACGAAGCACUUAUCUUUGAUUCUUCGGAUGAAGAGGUUUGUGACUGAGUGGCGGACGGGUGAGUAACGCGUGGGUAACCUGCCUCAUACAGGGGGAUAACAGUUAGAAAUGACUGCUAAUACCGCAUAAGACCACGGAGCCGCAUGGCUCAGUGGGAAAAACUCCGGUGGUAUGAGAUGGACCCGCGUCUGAUUAGGUAGUUGGUGGGGUAACGGCCUACCAAGCCAACGAUCAGUAGCCGACCUGAGAGGGUGAUCGGCCACAUUGGGACUGAGACACGGCCCAAACUCCUACGGGAGGCAGCAGUGGGGAAUAUUGCACAAUGGGGGAAAUCCUGAUGCAGCGACGCCGCGUGAGCGAAGAAGUAUUUCGGUAUGUAAAGCUCUAUCAGCAGGG